GGGGGAUAGCUCAGCUGGAUAGAGCGCCUGUCUUACAAACAGGAGGUCGGGGGUUCAAGUCCCUCUCUCCCC
rnacentral:tRNA from 1 species